ACAGACCGUCCAUGAAUGCAGUUUAUUCGUUUCCAGGUGAUGCAGACAGACCAGAGGAUGCUGACCACGAGAGACAGACCUAUUCCUAACAUCAGUGAACUUCAGCAUGGACUCAAAGGAAAGGACAUACCUGAAGGACACAACUGCCUCACCGUUUUCUCAGAGGGGCAAGAAGAAAAUGAAAAGCUGAUUUCAGAUUAAAGACCAAUACAGGACAUUCACUAAGAAACUACACUUUUAUUGUGAACACAAAGUCAAACAGGACCAUCAUUUGUUUGUGACAGCUGAGCCCAGUAUGUGCUCACAGAUGCAGUUUAGGGGGUUUCUCCAUCAGGCCUGGCCCUCCUCCAUCAGGCCUGGUCCUCCUCCAUCAGGCCUGGCCCUCCUCCAUCAGGCCUGGGCCUCCUCCAUCAGGCCUGGGCCUCCUCCAUCAGGCCUGGGCCUCCUCCAUCAGGCCUGGGCCUCCU